UUUUUAUCCCGAUGGAGGGCGUUAUUUACUUCCGAAUUUUAAUUCCCGCGGAAUGCAAGAUUGACAACCGGAGUUACAACAUGUGCAAGACGAGCAUGUCUCGUAGCAUGGAGGCGUUUUCCGUCUGACACGGGUAGCACAUCCGACAUGUCCGAAUCUACAUUUGUAAUGUCUGUCAAGGUGUUGAAGGCGAUAGCAGCUUUGUUGGUCCCCUGCCUGUGAGCUCAUCUUCUGGCAUCACUGCCCUGAUAGAGUAAGGCGGUAGCAGCUUGGUUGGUCCCCUGCCUAUGAGCUCAUCUUCUGGCAUCACUACCCUGAGUAAUAGAGUAACCCAAUUGCAGCUUGGUUGGUCCCGUGCCUGUGGGCUCAUCUUCUGGCAUCACUGCCCUGAUAGAGUAAGGCGAUAGCAGUUUGGUUGGUCCCCUGCCUUUGGGCUCAUCUUCUUGCAUCAUUGUUCUGAUAAAAUUUGGGAAGGCCUCAUUGCCAGCUGAAUGUACUGCCAUGGCUGCUUACACGAAGGAUGAGGCUGGCUAGCGUCAUGGUGCGAGUGGACUGACCGAUGAAAUCUCCAAAGUGAAGAGGCAGGUUACGUCAGAAGUAGCACAGAACAACAUGGAAGCUGUGCUGAUGAGAAGAGCGCCCUCGCCUCCUUCAAUGAGGAGAGAAGCAAGAUGGAGGACAAGAUCUUAUGGGACUUCCCAGAUAUGGUUCAUGAGAAUGCCAAGGAGAGGAAGUAACUCAGAUAGAUGCCAGUCCUCGCCUCUGUCACUGAGGAGGAACAGUUUCCAAGAUUGCAUGA